UACGGAGGGAGCUAGCGUUGUUCGGAAUUACUGGGCGUAAAGCGCGCGUAGGCGGCUUUGUAAGUUAGAGGUGAAAGCCCGGGGCUCAACUCCGGAAUUGCCUUUAAGACUGCAUCGCUAGAAUCCGGGAGAGGUGAGUGGAAUUCCGAGUGUAGAGGUGAAAUUCGUAGAUAUUCGGAAGAACACCAGUGGCGAAGGCGGCUCACUGGACCGGCAUUGACGCUGAGGUGCGAAAGCGUGGGGAGCAAACGGG
rnacentral:rRNA from 1 species